UACUGAGCCGAAUUACUAUGG
rnacentral:misc_RNA from 1 species